CCAACAUCUAGCUGUUGUAUUGCAUAGAAACAUAUUGAUCUCUCUAUGAUCCAAAACCAUGCAAGUGAAAAACAAACUUAGAAAAUAGCAUUAUCGAACUUAACUGGACCAUUAUCGAUUUCAUGGUGCUCCUCCUGUAAUUGUAACCAAAUGCCAUAUAGUUACUAAUUCAAUUUAUAAUACAUGAAAUACAAAAAGAGUAUUUUCAAGAAAAUAGAUAAAGUGGUUUCAACAUGCACAGAAACUAUACUUAGUGUAGUUAUUUUAGUCAUAACAUAAUAGAAGGGAAUAGUUAAGAAAAAACAUUAAAAGUUGAACAAAUUUAAGUUAGGGUGAGAUAGAAAUUUUGUUACCAGAAUUUAAUCAAAGAAAUUACGGUCGUUAACAUGAUCGUCGACAAAGCUAUCGAGAUAUCUUCAACCUUUUUACUCAUAGUGGUAAUGUUUUGCUCUUAUGGUUGGUACUUGGUAUCUCAACCUCCUAUGUUCCUUGAUCGGUUGAAAAGAGAAAGGAAAAUACAAAAGAUAAAGGAGUUUAGAUGUGAAAUACUAUGAGUUAGAUCUGAUGACAUUUCUUAUGAGUUUUUUU
rnacentral:lncRNA from 1 species